GCCUGGAUAGCUCAGUUGGUAGAGCAGCGCAUUCGUAAUGCGGAGGUCGGGGGUUCGAUUCCCUUUCCAGGCA
rnacentral:tRNA from 2 species